CUAAGAACUGGGAGUAACUUACUGGAAACCGGAGCUAAUACCGGAUAAUAUUUUGAACCGCAUGGUUCAAAAGUGAAAGACGGUCUUGCUGUCACUUAUAGAUGGAUCCGCGCCGCAUUAGCUAGUUGGUAAGGUAACGGCUUACCAAGGCAACGAUGCAUAGCCGACCUGAGAGGGUGAUCGGCCACACUGGAACUGAGACACGGUCCAG
rnacentral:rRNA from 1 species